rnacentral:snRNA from 1 species
GGAUGUGAGGGCGAUCUGGCUGUGACAUCACUGUUCGCCAGGGUUGAUUCGGCUGAUCUGGCUGGCUAGGCGGGUGUCCCCUUCCUCCCUCAGUGCUCCAUGUGUGUCCCUCCUGAAGCUGCGCGCUCAGUCGAAGAGGACGGUCUUCCCCGAAUAGAGAAUGACCGGUCUUCGGUCUUCGGUUGAGGGUAUAUAAGUAGCUGCGCUCCCCUGCUAGAACCUCCAAACAAGCUCUCAAGGAAACUGUAAAAUAAGCAGUAAAGUUAUCUACAACCCAGACAACCACGUUCACAAUGU